GUCCACUUCAGGCUGUUGAAGGUUCCUGGGACCGAGUCUCCAUCAGCUCUGUCCUGACACCUAGUGGACAAUCCCCAUACUCUCCACCCAGGUUGUAGGCUUAGUGCCGUUUUCAAAAACUAGCAAAGGAGCUAGCUUACAUAGUUCCCUAUGUUUCCCUUUCCAGAUGAGUUAAAGUAAACGGGCAGCGUGGAGUUUGGACUUUGCUGGAAUGCAAAUGAAAUUAACAUAGAUGCAAUGAAGAGUGGGCCUCAGCCAAGGAGUGAAGACUCCUAUUGCACUUAUAUCACUGCCACCAUGACGGGCCUCCCAACGCCCCCUCCCCCAAAAGGUAAGUUAUAUCCCAUUGGAAGGGUAGCUAGGUGGCGCAGUGGAUAGAGCACCGGCCCUGAAUUCAGGAGGACCUGAGUUCAAAUCCGGCCUCAGACACAUAACACUUACUACCUGGGUGAUCCUGGGCAAGUCACUUAACCCCAUUGCCUAGCCAAAAAAAAAAAAAAAAGGAAUUUUUUUUAAAAAAAAGUUAUAUCCCAUUGGAGAGGAAACUCCCGUUCUUGGGGCUUCAGCCUAGACUAAGGAGAAACCCCCAGCACUGGACUCUGAUUCAGACCUACCUGAUUUACCAAGGGGCAGCUCUCAGGUUAGCUUUGGGCCCAGGCAACUGAAACACACUUCUAGAAUCAUGAAAACCAGCUAAAGGCAACUCUAAACUAAAGGAGGCCUUUGUGGACUGAUGGCAGUAGCAAAUUCUCACUUUCUUGGAGAAGGUUCUGUCCUGCCUCUCACCCUCACCUUCUGGUGACACCAUUACCAUUUUCAAAAACUCCAUGCUCUUGAGAGGGAAAUUUCCCUGCUAAUAUAUUUAGGCCUAGUUUCUGCCCUCAAGUUUGCAGUGUUGU
rnacentral:lncRNA from 1 species